GGCUGGAUCCCCUCCUUUCUAGAGAAAACCUUCUUUCUCGCGCCCACACUUAUCGGCUGUGCAUCAGAGUGCAUCGCCGCGCAUUUGGAGAAUUCAGGGUCUGUAGCUCAGUUGGUUAGAGCACCGUCUUGAUAAGGCGGGGGUCGUUGGUUCAACUCCAACCAGACCCACCAAGCCAACUGAAGGUAGAUGGAAGCCGAACCGGCCGGGGCCAUAGCUCAGCUGGGAGAGCGCCUGCUUUGCAAGCAGGAGGUCACCGGUUCGAUCCCGGUUGGCUCCACCAGUCCCGUUCUCGCUGUACGCAGAAAUGCAAUUCCAAGUGGAGCGAAGCUCCGCUUCGAACUGCGUUUUAUUUGUUCGGCUGCUCUUUAAAAAUUCGGAAGAAGUGAAGCGAAUCCGGUUAUCUCAGACCGGGUUCGUCUGGGUAGUGAUUGCAUUAGAAGCAUUGGCGUUGCGGCUUAGUCUGCUGCAGCGCCGCCAAGCGCGAUCCGAAGCCUUUUGCAUGGCUGCCGAGCUGUGCUCAGGGUUAUAGGGUCAAGUGAACAAGUGCAUGUGGUGGAUGCCUUGGCGACUACAGGCGAUGAAGGACGUUGCAGCCUGCGAUAAGCCACGGGGAGCUGGCAAGCGAGCUUUGAUCCGAAGAUUUCCGAAUGGGGAAACCCGGAAGGGCGAAUU
rnacentral:misc_RNA from 1 species